rnacentral:rRNA from 1 species
CGGAUCGCAGGCUGCAACCCGCCUGCGUGAAGUUGGAAUCGCUAGUAAUCGCGGAUCAGCAUGCCGCGGUGAAUACGUUCCCGGGCCUUGUACACACCGCCCGUCACACCAUGAGAGUCGGGAACACCCGAAGUCCGUAGCCUAACCGCAAGGGGGCGCGGCCGAAGGUGGGUUCGAUAAUUGGGGUGAAGUCGUAACAAGGUAAC